rnacentral:rRNA from 1 species
AACGAACGCUGGCGGCAUGCCUAACACAUGCAAGUCGAACGAGACCUUCGGGUCUAGUGUCGCACGGGGGCGUAACGCGUGGGAACCUGCCCUUAGGUUCGGAAUAACUCCCCGAAAGGGGUGCUAAUACCGGAUAAUGUCUUCGGACCAAAGAUUUAUCGCCUUUGGAUGGGCCCGCGUUGGAUUAGCUAGUUGGUAGGGUAAAAGCCUACCAAGGCGACGAUCCAUAGCUGGUCUGAGAGGAUGAUCAGCCACACUGGGACUGAGACACGGCCCAGACUCCUACGGGAGGCAGCAGUGGGGAAUAUUGGAAAACGGGCGAAAGCCUGAUCCAGCAAUGCCGCGUGAGUGAUGAAGGCCGUAGGGUUGUAAAGCUCUUUUACCCGGGAUGAUAAUGACAGUACCGGGAGAAUAAGCUCCGGCUAACUCCGUG